UUUGUUGGUUCAGAAAAUAAGGGAAAGAGAGUUCCCAAACUCUCUCAAAUAUUCCUCAUCGGCCAAGAAAGAGCCAAUCGCUCCUGGCAGCGCUCACGGCCACUUACGGUGGCCGGAGCAACAACCCAAAUCCAAAAUGAUCCCUUUAUCUCCCUCAGCCCGAAAAUCAAACCUAUUCUACCUAAAAAAACCCUCAAAGUCCUAGAUCUAGGUUUGAUUACCUUUGAAGAAUACUUUGAACUCCGGCGACCUUUGGUGUUCCAGACUCGAUCCGAACCUCAGUGAAAUUAUCCUAUAUUUCUUUGCUGCCAACAAGGAGAUAAGCUCAGGUUAUAUUUGUGAAUUUUGUUCUUUCAUCCGGAUAUUCUUCCAUUACCAUUUAUUUUAUGCUCAAAGGGUAAGGUAAAAGAAGCCUUUGAUUCCCUUCUGGUCAAGUGCAUUACCUACUCUUUACUGGUGACUGCACCUCCACAUAAAGAUGCAGAUGAUGGCCCUGAACGUCGGUUGAAGCAUCAGAAGUAACUUUCUUUAUCUUCUGUAUAUAUGCACCAAUGCCAUGCUAACCACUCACAUUCAAAUGCACGCAGAGAUGUAACUUUCUCAUGCAUGCAUAGAGAAUAGACUGAUUCAAAAGGAGACAAUGAAAAGAGUUGAAUUAUCUAACUCUAAAAUUAAUAAGAAUUUAAAAAAUAUUUAGUUCAAGAUUUAAAAGAUACAAGAUUUAAUUUAAUAAGUUUCAAAUAAAUAUAUAAGACUAGUCAUUAGACAAAAAUUUGGGACU